GUGCUCGCUUCGGCAGCACAUAUACAAAAAUUAGAAUGAUACAGAGAAGAUUAGUAUGGCCCCUGUGCAAGGGUGACACGCAAAUUCGUGAAGUGUUCCAUAUAAAA
ensembl:snRNA U6 U6 spliceosomal RNA